rnacentral:rRNA from 1 species
UACAGAGGGUGCUAGCGUUGUUCGGAAUCAUUGGGCGUAAAGCGCACGUAGGCGGAUUGUUAAGUCGGGGGUGAAAUCCUGGAGCUCAACUCCAGAACUGCCUUCGAUACUGGCGAUCUCGAGUUCGGGAGAGGUGAGUGGAACUGCGAGUGUAGAGGUGAAAUUCGUAGAUAUUCGCAAGAACACCAGUGGCGAAGGCGGCUCACUGGCCCGAUACUGACGCUGAGGUGCGAAAGCGUGGGGAGCAAACAGG